rnacentral:lncRNA from 1 species
CUCUGCUGCAAAGAAAACUCCACCUACUCAGCGCUGCUAAUGUAGUCACUGACAGUGCAAGCGUUCUUCCUCCCUCGCUCUUUCCUGCUCUCUGUUGCGCUCUCUCCUGCUUCUCUCUCUCCUGCUCACACUCUCGCUUUCCCUCGUUCUCUCCUACUCCCCUCCUCUCACUCCCUCUCUCGCCUUUUCCCUGUUCUCUCUCGCACACACACUCUCUCACACACACAAACAAACACACUCUCUCUCUCAUAGCUCCAGUCCCAAAUAAAUAAAGAGGCACAGAAGGAUGUGGGGGAAAGAGAGAGGUUGCUGCUUUAGCAAGAACAAUGUUGAUGCAACCCAACCUUCUUAAUCUCCUACCUGCUUUGGAAAACGUGUGAGGAUUAAAGGCGCGUGGCGGUGUUCACACUGGGAUUUCUACAUCACAAAAAGAUGCUCAGUUCUCCCUCUCCUGCCCAAGCCACAGAAAAGGGGACUACUGUUGAGCACUUGUAUCCUCCUGUUUCAGUUCUACCUGCCUAACAGUCAGCCCUGCACAGCCACCGGAGGCAAUGACAGCCUUGCUGCUCUAGAGCCCCAUGGAGCACAGUCCGCUGCUGGAUUCCAUGCUUUUGUAGAUAUACAUUAGAAGGAAUUCCUUCUUAGAAGCCAAACCGAGAGAAAAGAAACACUGGCUGCUCAUCAGCUCUAUGGUUUUCUGACUUGUCCAAGACUGUGAUUUUUGGCAUCUGACUAAGAGGCAGAAACUCAAACAGGAAGUACCCAUGCCAAGGUCCAAACCAGAAACCUUGGAUAGAUGGCAGCAUUCGCACAAAACUGAAAGCGCGAACCACCGCAUUUAACCAUGGCAAGGUGACUGGGAAUAUGGUUGAGUACAAACAGUGUAGUUAUUCCC